AUUUAAGUAGUUUAAAAAAAAUUUUGAUUUGUGGUAUCAAUAAUGUAAUAUAAAAUUACCUUAAAUU
rnacentral:tRNA from 1 species